GAUGAACGCUCGCGGCAGGCCUAAUACAUGCAAGUCGAACGGGAUCCAGAUCAAAGCUUGCUUUGGUCUGGUGAGAGUGGCGCACGGGUGCGUAACGCGUGAGCAACCUACCCUUGUCAGGGGGAUAGCCCGGCGAAAGUCGGAUUAAUACCGCAUGACAUCAUUGAGAGGCAUCUUUCGAUGAUCAAAGAUUUAUCGGACAAGGAUGGGCUCGCGUGACAUUAGCUAGUUGGUAAGGUAACGGCUUACCAAGGCUGCGAUGUCUAGGGGCUCUGAGAGGAGAAUCCCCCACACUGGUACUGAGCCACGGACCAGACUCCUACGGGAGGCAGCAGUAAGGAAUAUUGGUCAAUGGACGGAAGUCUGAACCAGCCAUGCCGCGUGCAGGAGGACGGCCCUAGGGGUUGUAAACUGCUUUUAUACGGGAACAAACGUCGGUACGUGUACCGGUCUGAGUGUACCGUAAGAAUAAGGAUCGGCUAACUCCGUG
rnacentral:rRNA from 1 species